CCCUAGCCCAGAUAGAAGCGGUAUCCUUUUCUUUUUUCUUUUUAAAAAAGAAAAGAUAUAGCGGAUAGCUGGAAAUAGC
rnacentral:snRNA from 1 species